AUAAAUACUUGAAUCAACACAUUGAAUGGUAGCAAUUAAAGCACUUUGAGUACCAUUCAUCAUCCUUUUUUUACUUCUUUGAUACUUAAAAGUUAAGAUCUAGAUCUACAGUGAAUAAUAGCACAAUUUGGUAACUACUCAGCCAACUGGAAUACGUGAGAAUAAUCAAAAAAAGAAAAUAGAACCAAUUAGAAUGUCUAAUCCAAACUAGUACAGUUGUUUUUAUCAAGGCAAGAUAUGAGUAGUGAUCAAUAGAGCCAGAUCUAGUACAUGAGUAGGAUAAUUGGCAAUGGCUGUCGACAGUAGUAUUGCUCAUCAGAAACAUUAAAUCUUUAUAAUCAGUGCAUAGGAAUAGAUCUAGAUAUACAGAUUCUAGAUGUAUAGUCAGUAUAGAUCAUAGAAUACAGAUAUAAGAGUCUAGGUCUAUUGUUAUUAUAUAAAGUAGAUAUAAACUAGAUAUAGAUUAAACUGAUUAGACAUUAGUAAAGAUAAAGUUGAUCUUAAAAGAAUGAUCUGUGGGCCAAGCACUUCCAAUCAUGAUUCACAAAUGAAGAAGCUAAGGGCUAAGACUUAAGACGAAGUUAAAAAGUCAGGAAGUCACAUUUAUCACUUAGUGAUUUAGAUUAGCCAUGAACAAGCUAAGUCAGAUGAAGCUAAUGAUCAUCUAGAUCUAUUAUUACCCAGAAUUCCUUGCUGUC